GUCUCUGUGGCUCAGUCGGUAGAGCGUUGGUCUCAUAUUCAUUCUAUUGAAAUGACUCUGGAACUCAUAUCAAGGAUAUCUAAAGGUCGCAAGUUCGAGCCUUGCCAGGGACA
rnacentral:tRNA from 2 species